UGGACAGUGCCCUCCCCUCGGUGGUAGCU
rnacentral:piRNA from 1 species